rnacentral:rRNA from 1 species
UACGUAGGGGGCAAGCGUUGUCCGGAUUUAUUGGGCGUAAAGAGCGUGUAGGCGGUUUGGUAGGUCCGUUGUGAAAACUCGAGGCUCAACCUCGAGACGCCGAUGGAAACCAUCAGACUAGAGUCCGGAAGAGGAGACUGGAAUUCCUGGUGUAGCGGUGGAAUGCGCAGAUAUCAGGAGGAACACCGGUGGCGAAGGCGGGUCUCUGGGCAGUAACUGACGCUGAGGAGCGAAAGCGUGGGGAGCGAACAGG